GGAAAGGCAAAAGGAAGAGCUGGUGGGAGAGGGAUACCUGUGCAUUGUGCUGAGUGAUUUCUCAUAAUGUUACUGGCCACAAGGUGUCUAUCUCUUAAUAAGCAGGAUGUGUAGCUUCGAGAAUGUGUCUGCAGCCACCUCCAGCCCCAGGGAAUCAGAAAAGUUGUUUAAAAAUUCUGUAGGUGGCUUGAGGCUCUGUCUAGAGGCUUAGGGAGUGCGUGAUCUAUAAUACUCAUCUAAUGACUAAGCUACAGCAUCACAAGGCUCACAGAUGACUAAUAAUUAUUCUCAUUCUACAGUGCACAGUUUGGUUUGCAAAACAAAGCAAGUGAGGCCUCUGCCCUUUUGUCCUGUGACUCACUCCUGUAAAAUAUUCAGUGGCAAGGCUGAGAGAGCACAAGACAUGCGGGUCAGCACUCCUGCAUCUUCUGCCUUUCUUUCUCCCACAGUCCCAGGCUUCUUGGGGCUGCAAGUCCAUUUUUAAUGCUUGAGCCGACCGUGUUCUGUGUGGUGAUUAAGACCAGACUUUGGAUUUUAACAUGGAGGUUCCACCCCGAACAAAGAAACCAAAAUGAGGAGGUCAUUCAGCCUCCCUUGGACACUGUCCACCCCAUCCUUGUCUGAGCCCUCUGGGGGAGGUGGAUACCCACCUGCAAGAGAAGAUGGCCUGCUCUGAGUGAGUUCUCAGCAUCUCCCUUUAUCCUCGGGGGUGGUCUGCUCCCUCCCUUUUGUGGUCUCCUGCCUCUCAUUUGGCUCACACUUCGGCUACUGCCUCAUUCUGAGGGUGCAUUUAGCAUCUGCUUCUCUGGUUCUGCUUUAAAUCUCUCAUGGAGCCAACUCUGACCCUGCACAUCACAGCUGCAGCUAAGAGGCAGGUUGGCUUCCCAGGAGGCCAGGGCUACAAUAAAUGGGCUAUCACUCAAAACUAUUAGGCUUCUUCCUGUCUAUUUUCUCAGACUCCCUGAUGGUUUUUUGACAAAGUUAUCAGCUAUCUGCUUGGGUUCUCUGAGACAAGACUUGCUGACGUCCAUGUCUUCAUAUUACAGUAUCUGUUCAAAGCUUAGCUGACUUCUGCCCAUCUUCCCCAGGUGGGAAUGUUAAGGAGGGAGAGUACUUUCUCUUCUUACCCCACCUACUCUGCAUCAAGAGGGGUGGGAUGGCCAGUCUGAACAGCUUAACACUCAGAGAAGUUCAUUAGUGGGUGAGUUCACUGAGAGAAGUUCAUUGAUGGGUGAGUUCAUUGUGCCUCUAGCCUUGCUAUGCUUGAACAUAGUAGCCUCUCUUCUGCCUCUUUCUUCAGUUAAGAGUCUUCCUUGCCAAAAUGUAAGUUUGCACACACUGCACACUGUUUCUCCUUUUGCCAGUAGGGUGAAGCAGGCCCGCCAUUCUUACCUCUACAAUUGUUUAGCUAAAAGCACCAGGAGUCUUUCUGUCCACCAAUUAUAUAUCUUUCCUUCUUUUCUGUUAAACCUGUGCCAUGCUCUUCAAUCCAGCUUGUAUCAGGGUUUUGCACUGAAACUGCUACCUAUGCACUCAGUCGUAAGCGUCCAUUUGGCCGUCAUUCUUUGGGUAUAGUUGUCAAGUGAAUGUGAAAAGCGAGGCUGGAUGGUACCUUGUAGAGGUUGGGGAUUGGGCAGACAACCCACAUUUGGGGAACUCCAUGCCUUUCCACAGUUUGACCCUGGAAUCAGCUGCAAUUUACUCCCCUGCUCAUAUUCUCCUAUUGGUCUACAUCAAGGUGCUGCUGUAGGAACUUGAUGCUUUUGUAAUAAUGUGGAAAGAGAAUUCUCAUACUUUGUGGUCCAGAAUCAACCUCCUUCCAGAC
rnacentral:lncRNA from 1 species